AAGCGUAAUAGCUCACUGGUCGAGUCGGCCUGCGCGGAAGAUGUAACGGGGCUAAACCAUGCACCGAAGCUGCGGCAGCGACGCUUAGGCGUUGUUGGGUAGGGGAGCGUUCUGUAAGCCUGCGAAGGUGUACUGUGAGGUAUGCUGGAGGUAUCAGAAGUGCGAAUGCUGACAUAAGUAACGAUAAAGCGGGUGAAAAGCCCGCUCGCC
rnacentral:rRNA from 1 species